rnacentral:rRNA from 1 species
ACACGAGUGAGACAGGUGGUGCAUGGUUGUCGUCAGCUCGUGUCGUGAGAUGUUGGGUUAAGUCCCGCAACGAGCGCAACCCCUAUCCUCAGUAGCCAGCAUUUAAGGUGGGCACUCUGGGGAGACUGCCAGGGAUAACCUGGAGGAAGGCGGGGAUGACGUCAAAUCAUCAUGCCCCUUAUGAUUUGGGCUACACACGUGCUACAAUGGCGUAAACAAAGGGAAGCGAACCUGCGAGGGUGGGCAAAUCCCAAAAAUAACGUCCCAGUUCGGACUGUAGUCUGCAACCCGACUACACGAAGCUGGAAUCGCUAGUAAUCGCGGAUCAGAAUGCCGCGGUGAAUACGUUCCCGGGUCUG